UGGCCAGUAACUCAGCGGUAGAGUGCCCGCCUGUUAAGCGGAAUGUCCCUGGUUCGAGCCCAGGCUGGUCAGCCA
rnacentral:tRNA from 1 species